GGGCUUGCACCCUCAGAGCCUGCGUCGACCCCACAGAUACAUUUCCUGGAUCGCUGCCAUGCAAGCUGGCUCCCCACAUCAAAGGGUGUUGAAAAAUCCCGCCACCAUAUCAAGAAUACCUGCUUGACUAAAUUAGGCAGAACAAUUGUUGGCUGAUCAAAAAAUGACAUUUCAACAAAGACCCGAGUUCGUAUGCAUAAUUGUUUAACCUGAUUGUAUGUCUUGUAUUAUAUCUGAGGGCCAUGUUUAUGAAGUUAAGCCGUUCGUUCGUUGUUUGCGCGACUGAAUUUUUCCACUUUUAAUUGGAAAUGUAUGCGCUAAAAACGUCUGUCAGGUGAGACAAAUAUAAACGAAAUACCGCAUUGAUGUGUGAUCGGCCAAAAACAUCGAAAAGAUUUUACUCCAACGAGCGAGCAAGCAGGCAGAAAACUGAUGAGGUGGGCCUUUAAUUUGCAUUUAACAAACAUUGUAU
rnacentral:lncRNA from 1 species